rnacentral:tRNA from 1 species
GCCAAGAUGGCUCAGUUGGCAGCGCAGUACACUCGUAAUGUACAGGUCGGGGGUUCGAUUCCCCCUCUUGGCU